AAGUCUGAUGGAGCAACGCCGCGUGAGUGAUGAAGGUUUUCGGAUCGUAAAACUCUGUUGUAAGGGAAGAACCAGUACGUCAGGCAAUGGACGUACCUUGACGGUACCAGAGGAGGAAGCCACGGCUAACUACGUGCCAGCAGCCGCGGUAAUACGUAGGUGGCAAGCGUUGUCCGGAUUUACUGGGCGUAAAGGAUGCGUAGGCGGAUGUUUAAGUGAGAUGUGAAAUACCCGAGCUCAACUUGGGUGCUGCAUUUCAAACUGGAUAUCUAGAGGGCAGGAGAGGAAAGCGGAAUUCCUAGUGUAGCGGUGAAAUGCGUAGAGAUUAGGAAGAACACCAGUGGCGAAGGCGGCUUUCUGGACUGUAACUGACGCUGAGGCAUGAAAGCGUGGGGAGCAAACA
rnacentral:rRNA from 2 species